UACAGAGGGUGCGAGCGUUAAUCGGAAUUACUGGGCGUAAAGCGCGCGUAGGCGGCUUUGCAAGUCGGGUGUGAAAUCCCCAGGCUUAACCUGGGAACUGCAUUCGAGACUGCAUUGCUAGAGUAUGGGGAGAGGGAAGUGGAAUUUCAGGUGUAGCGGUGAAAUGCGUAGAUAUCUGAAGGAACAUCAGUGGCGAAAAGCGACUUCCUGGACCAAUACUGACGCUCAUGUGCGAAAGCGUGGGGGAGCAAACAGG
rnacentral:rRNA from 1 species